CACACGCCCAUUUCUCCUCCUUUUCUUCACGUCUUUUUCUCAGAACCUUUGCGGUCAUCUCGCCGCUGUACGGACAGAUCCGCCCCGCCUUCUCUAGCAGCCGCAGCACGCCAAAGUCUCCGUUUUUCCUCGCUCUCUCCGCCUCUCUUUCACUCUGUCUUUUCCGUAGCCUCGCAUAUCACUCAUCGCCGUGCGGAUCAUCCUGCCGCAAUACCACUCAGGUACACAUAAGUCUGCCUCUCCGGCCUCGUGGCUCAGCCUCGGCUCCCACAUAUGCCCUCAAAAAUAGCAGCCAACACGUAAUUCGUUUAUUCCUUAAAGCAUCCCUUUUUUCUUCUCAUUCUCCUUCUCCAUCCAUGAAUUUUGUAUACUUAGAAGCUCGUGAAUUUUGAGUUUUUUCGGCUGCAAUUCCUUGAGAAAACCGAUUCAGUGGAGCAAUCUUUGAUACAUUGAGAAAUAAAAUAGUGGGUUGCUUUGAAUUGUGUAAUUUUUU
rnacentral:lncRNA from 1 species